rnacentral:rRNA from 1 species
CCUACGGGAGGCAGCAGUGAGGAAUAUUGGUCAAUGGGCGUAAGCCUGAACCAGCCAAGUCGCGUGAGGGAUGAAGGUUCUAUGGAUCGUAAACCUCUUUUAUAAGGGAAUAAAGUGCGGGACGUGUCCCGCGUUGUAUGUACCUUACGAAUAAGGAUCGGCUAACUCAGUGCCAGCCGCCGAGGUAAUACGGAGGAUCCGAGCGGUACCCGGAUUUAGUGGGUUUAAAGGGAGCGUAGGCGGCCUUAUAAGUCAGGGGGGAAAGUCACGGGCUCAACCAGAGAAUUGCCGUUGAAACUGGGAGGCUUGAGUGUGUUUGAGGCAGGCGGAAUGCGAGGUGUAGCGGUGAAAUGCUUAGAUAUCACGCAGAACCCCGAUUGCGAAGGCAGCCUGCCAAGCCAUGACUGACGCUGAUGCACGAAAGCGUGGGGAUCAAACAGGAUUAGAUACCCUUGUAGUC